GUGACCUCGAUCAGUAGAGCCAGUCAUGGUACUUAA
rnacentral:rRNA from 1 species